rnacentral:rRNA from 1 species
GAUGAAUGCUGGCGGCGUGCCUAAUACAUGCAAGUCGAGCGAACGGACGAGAAGCUUGCUUCUCUGAUGUAGCGGCGGACGGGUGAGUAACACGUGGAUAACCUACCUAUAAGACUGGGAUAACUUCGGGAAACCGGAGCUAAUACCGGAUGAUAUUUUGAACCGCAUGGUUCAAAAGUGAAAGACGGUCUUGCUGUCACUUAUAGAUGGAUCCGCGCUGCAUUAGCUAGUUGGUAAGGUAACGGCUUACCAAGGCAACGAUGCAUAGCCGACCUGAGAGGGUGAUCGGCCACACUGGAACUGAGACACGGUCCAGACUCCUACGGGAGGCAGCAGUAGGGAAUCUUCCGCAAUGGGCGAAAGCCUGACGGAGCAACGCCGCGUGAGUGAUGAAGGUCUUCGGAUCGUAAAACUCUGUUAUUAGGGAAGAACAUAUGUGUAAGUAACUGUGCACAUCUUGACGGUACCUAAUCAGAAAGCCACGGCUAACUACGUG